rnacentral:rRNA from 1 species
AACGAACGCUGGCGGCAGGCUUAACACAUACAAGUCGAACGCCCCGCAAGGGGAGUGGCAGACGGGUGAGUAACGCGUGGGAACAUACCCUUUUCUACGGAAUAGCUCUGGGAAACUGGAAUUAAUACCGUAUACGCCCUACGGGGGGAAGAUUUAUCGGGGAAGGAUUGGCCCGCGUUGGAUUAGCUAGUUGGUGGGGUAAAGGCCUACCAAGGCGACGAUCCAUAGCUGGUCUGAGAGGAUGAUCAGCCACAUUGGGACUGAGACACGGCCCAAACUCCUACGGGAGGCAGCAGUGGGGAAUAUUGGACAAUGGGCGCAAGCCUGAUCCAGCCAUGCCGCGUGAGUGAUGAAGGCCUUAGGGUUGUAAAGCUCUUUCACCGAUGAAGAUAAUGACGGUAGUCGGAGAAGAAGCCCCGGCUAACUUCGUGCCAGCCGCCGCCGUAAAAC